AUCCUGCCACUACAUAAGCCAAAAUACUGCAAAACAUCGGAGAAAUCAAUGUCCCUGCAUGUUGAAGGCAAUCUUUUCUGGAGGAUAUUGUCUGUGUUGGCCCUAGCAUUAUUGAAGAGCAGCCCCAGCAUUGAAGUGAAGAUUUCUCCUCCCAAUAGCAUCUGAAGGAUCAAAACCCAGAGCUGCUGGUCAGAGAAGUCCUCCAUCUCGACUGUUGCCAUGCUUGAGACUGUCAAUGUGGACACAGAGGUGAAGAUGAGGUCCAGGUUCCUUGGAGUUGGCUUAUGCUGUGGCUUGAGAUUCUUCAGAGCAAGGAAACCAGCAAAGGAUGUUGACAUGAAGUAAAUAAGCUGAAGUAAUAAAGGAUUGCUUUGGAAGAACAUGUAAAAGCGUCUGAAAAAAUAGUUUGCACAUUUGGCGAUGGAACCAAGCCUCAUGGACAGAAACACAUGAAGGUGCUUCACUUUCUCCUUAGCGAUCCUAACCACUUUGGAAUUGGCUAACGGGAGCUUCAUGGAUAAUGGCAAAUGCCGCAUGGUAACUAGAACUGAAUGCAUCGAUGCAUUGUUGGUGGUUUGUGGGCUUUGAGUGGAGAUUGUGGGAGUUCGCAACUGGAAGCUGUUUUCAUGGUGAUAUGUAGGUCUCAAGGAUUCUCUCUUGCAACCAUUGCCUGAUGUGAUAAAUUUCUGGAGCACAAUACGUAGGAUGGAGUAUGGCAACUGUGCCAACUUUGUGUUAUUUAUGAUGCUGAUGGUGUCUAAAGGGCUCCAGCCCCAAGUACAAUUGAUGUAUGGGCAAGCAUGUGCUUCUAGUAUUAUAUUACCUAA